rnacentral:rRNA from 1 species
GGAGCCGGUUAGCCCCAGAGAUGGUGGUCUCUUUGGACACUCGUAGACACAGGUGGUGCAUGGUUGUCGUCAGCUCGUGUCGUGAGAUGUUCGGGUUAAGUCCCGCAACGAGCGCAACCCUCGUCCCAUGUUGCCAGCGGGUUAUGCCGGGGACUCAUGGGAGACUGCCGGGGUCAACUCGGAGGAAGGUGGGGAUGACGUCAAAUCAUCAUGCCCCUUAUGUCUUGGGCUUCACGCAUGCUACAAUGGCCGGUACAAAGGGCUGCGAUACCGUAAGGUGGAGCGAAUCCCAAAAAGCCGGUCUCAGUUCGGAUUGGGGUCUGCAACUCGACCCCAUGAAGUCGGAGUCGCUAGUAAUCGCAGAUCAGCAACGCUGCGGUGAAUACGUUCCCGGGCCUGUAACACACCGAA